rnacentral:ribozyme from 1 species
UUUUUUUUUUUUUUUUUUUUUUUUUCUUGCGCGCAAGAAUGAAUCAUUUCUG